rnacentral:lncRNA from 1 species
CCUUUUCCAGCUGUUUUGGCAAUCGACGUAAGGUUCACAGAUUCGCUUCUAUUUUCAGUGAUAUUGUUAAGUACCAUUUAUUGAAUCCCGGCUCAAAAACCGCUGGAACCUGAGGCAAAGCACCUCUGCAGUCAUAUUAGAUCGACAAAUGAUACCAGUGGUAGGUGAUCGAGUGCUAACUAAUGGAUGAGUCAAAGCCAAGUCCAGCGCCAGUCUCACUGAAAAGAUCGCGUCUGGGGCCUAACCUAAAACAUUGAAAGUGUUACGUCCAGUUGUACCCAAUGGAAAUGGCUUGAGCACUAGUAAUGAAAAAAAAAUUGAGGAAGCACCAGAAAAUUCAUCCAGUGUAGAUAAGGACAAAGCAUCUAUGUCAUGCUGCUGAUGUAGAUGUUAAAAAAGAGCCAUCUGAUCCUUGUCCCGAAGAAAACAAUUCCGAUAGUACCGUAGAGAACUCUAGCUUAGCAGUAGAGCAAAACAAUAGUAGUGAAAGUGAUAGUGUUGCUAAUAGUGGUGUUAAUAAAGUGAAUAGUACUUCUUCUGAGGAGUCCAGCAAAACUAGUGAAGAAAAUGGUAAGCUCGAACCCAAGGUUGACGCUAGUGAUGAUAAGGUUGAAAAACUCACUGACAAGGAAAUUGUGAAAGUUGAAAUUCAAAAAGACUCUGCGUCAUCGGACGCUUCUAAGCUCAAAGACUCAACACAAUCUGAAGCUGUCAAGCCAGUGAAAGAGCCGUCGGCAAAAACUGAAGUCUUGAAACCAGUGAAGGAAUCGCCGAAGGCUAAAGUUUUUAAGAAAGAAGCAGCCAAAACUGACGCUCCUAAACCAGUUGAAGACAAAGUUAAAGUGGAAAAAGACUCCGUUAAAUCCGAAGAAAAGGCUGCCCAAGAAGUAGCCAUUAAUAAAACUGAAACCAAGUCUGAAAAAGACUCGUCAACGAAAGCAAAAGGAAAGGCAGAGGCUGAGCCAGCGAAAAGAGAAUCGGCAAGGAACAAAGCUAACGCCAGAAAAGGCAAGUUAAAAGACGAAGAAUCGCAAUCAUCUGGAUCUGAGGAUUUCCUUGGUUUUGACAGUGAGCACACUGAGAAGUCCAUGAAAGCCAAGAAAAAAUUUAUCGAAUCAAGUGAAGAAAAGAAAGUAAGCAGCUCUCGAGUUCCUAGUACGCCAGUAAGCUCAGAUACACCCAAAUCUGAACACUCCUUCGUUGAAGCAGCGCCAAGUUCUAACAAAAGAUGA